GGGGACAUAGCUCAGCUGGGAGAGCGUCUGCUUUGCAAGCAGAAGGCCAGGGGUUCGAAUCCCCUUGUCUCCACCA
rnacentral:tRNA from 10 species